rnacentral:tRNA from 1 species
UCCCUGGCGGUCUAGUGGUUAAGACUCUGUGCUUCCAGUACAAGGGGCUUGGGUUCGAUCCCCGGCCAGGGAA